UACGUAGGGGGCAAGCGUUAUCCGGAUUUACUGGGUGUAAAGGGAGCGCAGGCGGAAGGCUAAGUCUGAUGUGAAAACCCGGGGCUCAACCCCGGGACUGCAUUGGAAACUGGUCAUCUUGAGUGUCGGAGGGGUAAGUGGAAUUCCUAGUGUAGCGGUGAAAUGCGUAGAUAUUAGGAGGAACACCAGUGGCGAAGGCGGCUUACUGGACGACAACUGACGCUGAGGCUCGAAAGCGUGGGGAG
rnacentral:rRNA from 1 species